CAGUUGUUGAAAGAUCAACAUCAUAAUGAAGACGUUCGAUUUCGUUUUGUUCACCUGGAUAUUGUCAGCCUGUACAAGCAAGAGCUUCGCACAAACACCUGCAACAACGGUUAUAGUUCCUGGAGACGGAGUUUUUCCUCUCUGGUGGUCCUCAUCCGCCUAUGUGUGGGGGUUUAUUAAGCUUGGUUACAUCUUGGCUGGAUUGCUCGCGCUUUUCGUCUACCGACACUGGGCGUACGAUUCGGAGCCCGAGUAUGGAAACUAUUAUCACUACAGGGAUUUGGAUUCCUCCAAUGGUAGAUCGGUUGGCAUCAAUGUUGAUGAGAAAAUAGAGAGCUUUCGUCACAAAUUUAAGUGAAAACAUUCUACAGAACUUUAUUUUUUUGUUUACUUAACCAUUUGAGCUGUGAUAAUUAUAGUGAAAACUAAUACAUACGUUUUCAAAGUUUUUAGUUUUGAAGAAAUGAAUGAAAGAAUGCCAUUAUUGAAAUUAUUCAGAAUAGUCACGAGGCUUUCAGCCUUGGGAUGAUUCACCUCGACUGUCUGAUUAAUUGACGAGCCAGAAGAGGCAGGUAGGGAAACUUUUUGAACUUUAAUUUUUCAAUCUUGGACUCAUGAAGGUUCCUAUAUCGAGCUAUUAAGUAUUUGAAGGGUUAGGUUUUGUAAAAUUAAGAUACUGUGAAUGGAUUUCAGUAAACCAUCAGCCAUAAGAUUAUUACUGAUUGCUUUUUUUUCAAGUAAUUAUGAAAA